rnacentral:rRNA from 1 species
GACGAACGCUGGCGGCGUGCUUAACACAUGCAAGUCGAGCGGUAAGGCCCUUUCGGGGGUACACGAGCGGCGAACGGGUGAGUAACACGUGGGUGACCUGCCCUCAGCUCUGGGAUAAAGCCUGGGAAACCGGGUCUAAUACUGGAUAUGACUCCAUGACGCAUGUUGUGGGGUGGAAAGCCUUGUGCGGCUGAGGAUGGGCCCGCGGCCUAUCAGCUUGUUGGUGGGGUGAUGGCCUACCAAGACGACGACGGGUAGCCGGCCUGAGAGGGCGACCGGCCACACUGGGACUGAGACACGGCCCAGACUCCUACGGGAGGCAGCAGUGGGGAAUCUUGCGCAAUGGGCGAAAGCCUGACGCAGCGACGCCGCGUGAGGGAUGACGGCCUCGG